AUGCUGCUGCACAUAGGGCUGGAAGGAUGAAGAGUCUGGAGCAGGUGGAGUUCUGCAAAAUCCUGUCCUACUGGGAGUGAAGGCCUUCUAAUCUUCAAUGAAACUGCUUUCUGAGACGAUCUCAACUUGUGCAUAUACCAUUAUUCGGGAUAAACUUGACAUGAGCAAGUAUAUCGAUGGUGUUCAGUCCUCAUAAAAGAUAAUAGGAUCUGAGA